UGGAUGUAGAAGAGUAGGUGUUUGAACAAUUUCAAAGUCGGCAGAUUUAAAUCUGAGGUUAGUUUCAUUGACUCGUGUUCGUAUUGACUCAGGAACUACGAGGGUAGUCGACCACUUUUAUUUGAAAGGUUUUACACAAUUGUUAAGCGAAACUAAUCCAGGCAGAUUCCGGUGGAACCAAAGGGAGCAAUAAACCCGAAUUCCCAAGCUUAUGGGGUUAUAAUCAAAUAUAACGAACCGCCGACUCAUCCCUGUCUUAUCAUUUAUUUCAAAACGCUCUGAGUCAAGUUAUUGAAUGACUGUCAACGUAAAUAUCGAAGACCAUCGUGAGUCCAUCAAUCGUGACUAUACGCUGGAUAAAAUACAUAUUUUUGGAUCCUCUCUUACAAAACUAGCCCGAUUGCGGCUAAUCCUAACCAGACCUGACCUUAGAGGAUUUCCCGACAGAUCCUGGACCAAAUAUACAUAAUAUGAAUAUAAUGAAGAUGUUGAAAGCGUUGCAUAGUUCUCUACAAACCCUCUGCAAGUUACGACCCGAGAAUAUCCAAACCCGAUAAGCCCUAUACAUUAAAAUUAUUGUAUCGUUAUUGUAACAUUUAAUAGAUGUCCUGUCUUUACAAAUUCUUGACCAAGUAAAAUACUUGUAAAGUGUCCCACCAAAGAGCAACUACUUCU